GGAUGAUCAUUUCGUUGCAGAAUGUUGCUUGCAAGCAGCACCUUCAAGUUAUCACGGAGUUUACUUUUUACUCAACUUUGCUCAGAAAAGACUUGAAGAUUGUAAGAAAUGUGAAGACCAGUGUAUUUUAAUAAGUUUGGUUAAUAAUCGAUUACAUCGACUAGUAACACUGAUGGAGAUAUUUGAAGAAACAGAAGUUGAUUUUGGG